rnacentral:rRNA from 1 species
CUCCUUUGACGUUAGCGGCGGACGGGUGAGUAACACGUGGGUAACCUACCUAUAAGACUGGGAUAACUUCGGGAAACCGGAGCUAAUACCGGAUAAUAUUUCGAACCGCAUGGUUCGAUAGUGAAAGGUGGUUUUGCUAUCACUUAUAGAUGGACCCGCGCCGUAUUAGCUAGUUGGUAAGGUAACGGCUUACCAAGGCGACGAUACGUAGCCGACCUGAGAGGGUGAUCGGCCACACUGGAACUGAGACACGGUCCAGACUCCUACGGGAGGCAGCAGC